AGGACGAACGCUGGCGGCGUGCUUAACACAUGCAAGUCGAGCGGAAAGGCCCUUCGGGGUACUCGAGCGGCGAACGGGUGAGUAACACGUGAGUAAUCUGCCCCUAGCUCUGGGAUAGCUCUGGGAAACCGGGAUUAAUACCAGAUACGACCACUUUAGACAUCUGUUGUGGUGGAAAGAAUUUUGGCUAGGGAUGAGCUCGCGGCCUAUCAGCUUGUUGGUGAGGUAACGGCUCACCAAGGCGACGACGGGUAGCCGGCCUGAGAGGGCGACCGGCCACACUGGGACUGAGACACGGCCCAGACUCCUACGGGAGGCAGCAGUGGGGAAUAUUGCGCAAUGGGCGAAAGCCUGACGCAGCGACGCCGCGUGGGGGAUGAAGGCCUUCGGGUUGUAAACCCCUUUCAGCAGGGACGAAGCGAAAGUGACGGUACCUGCAGAAGAAGCGCCGGCUAACUACGUGCCAGCAGCCGC
rnacentral:rRNA from 1 species